GUAUGCAAUUAUGACAAACUCAUAUACGUCAGGUCAAAGUGCAGCUUAUGAGAGGGCGACGAUGGGUUACACCCUAUAUAAAGACACGAAAUGUGGCACCAAAAGCCACAUGAAGGUGGACUUGGACGUAAUAAAGAUACAAAAUCAAAAUGAAGAUGAAUCUGAGACAUGCACACAUCGCCCGUCACUCUUGCCCAAAGGUGAGAUAAGUCGUAACAAAGUAGGUGUAACGGAAGUUGCACCUGU
rnacentral:rRNA from 1 species